GAGGGAGCUUGCUCCCAAAGAUUAGCGGCGGACGGGUGAGUAACACGUGGGCAACCUGCCUGUAAGACUGGGAUAACUUCGGGAAACCGGAGCUAAUACCGGAUAAUCCUUUUCCUCACAUGAGGGAAAGCUGAAAGAUGGUUUCGGCUAUCACUUACAGAUGGGCCCGCGGCGCAUUAGCUAGUUGGUGAGGUAACGGCUCACCAAGGCAACGAUGCGUAGCCGACCUGAGAGGGUGAUCGGCCACACUGGGACUGAGACACGGCCCACACUCCUACGGGAGGCAGCAGUAGGGAAUCUUCCGCAAUGGACGAAAGUCUGACGGAGCAACGCCGCGUGAGUGAUGAAGGUUUUCGGAUCGUAAAACUCUGUUGUUAGGGAAGAACAAGUACCGGAGUAACUGCCGGUACCUUGACGGUACCUAACCAGAAAGCCACGGCUAACUACGUGCCAGCAGCCGCGGUAAUACGUAGGUGGCAAGCGUUGUCCGGAAUUAUUGGGCGUAAAGCGCGCGCAGGUGGUUUCUUAAGUCUGAUGUGAAAGCCCCCGGCUCAACCGGGGAGGGUCAUUGGAAACUGGGAGACUUGAGUGCAGAAGAGGAAAGUGGAAUUCCAAGUGUAGCGGUGAAAUGCGUAGAGAUUUGGAGGAACACCAGUGGCGAAGGCGACUUUCUGGUCUGUAACUGACACUGAGGCGCGAAAGCGUGGGGAGCGAACAGGAUUAGAUACCCUGGUAGUCCACGCCGCUAAACGAUGAGUGGCUAAGUGUUAGGGGGUUUCCGCCCCUUAGUGCUGCAGCUAACGCAUUAAGCACUCCGCCUGGGGAGUACGGCCGCAAGGCUGAAACUCAAAGGAAUUGACGGGGGCCCGCACAAGCGGUGGAGCAUGUGGUUUAAUUCGAAGCAACGCGAAGAACCUUACCAGGUCUUGACAUCCUCUGACAAUCCUAGAGAUAGGACGUUUCCCUUCGGGGAACAGAGUGACAGGUGGUGCAUGGUUGUCGUCAGCUCGUGUCGUGAGAUGUUGGGUUAAGUCCCGCAACGAGCGCAACCCUUGAUCUUAGUUGCCAGCAUUCAGUUGGGCACUCUAAGGUGACUGCCGGUGACAAACCGGAGGAAGGUGGGGAUGACGUCAAAUCAUCAUGCCCCUUAUGACCUGGGCUACACACGUGCUACAAUGGAUGGUACAAAGGGCUGCAAGACCGCGAGGUUUAGCCAAUCCCAUAAAACCAUUCUCAGUUCGGAUUGCAGGCUGCAAUCUCGCCUGCAUGAAGCC
rnacentral:rRNA from 2 species